rnacentral:lncRNA from 1 species
CCCACGUGUCAGGGCGAGCCUGGCCUCGGUCUGCGGGAGACAGCAGGGCCACGAGAACGAUUCGCAUUGCUGUGGUUUCACACCCACCAGGUGCUCCUGCGGCCGAGAAGGCGCGGCCCGGAGAGACUGCCCAGCGCUCUGGCGGCUUCCUGCGUGUCCCUGGCUCCGAGCUCCAGUUUCUCUGCUCGCCCCCAUCGACGCCGGCCUGCUGAUGCUUUUCCUUACAAAGCGGGCUAUGCCCAUCUCUGUCCCCACCUUGUGUUAAAGAAGGGACAGCCGGACUGUCAUCUUCACGAACGGAGGAGAGGGGACCCCUAAAGGCCACAGAGCAAAGCGUGCCCUCCAUACCCUUGAGCCAAGUCCUACCUGAGCGACCAGGGGGUCAGCCCUCCCCACUUUUCCCUGGCCGGGGCGCCCCCUCCCUAUGACCCACAGGCUCCUUCUCGCUCCCCCUCUCCCCUUCUGAGACCAUCUGCCAGGCAACAAUCUCGUACUGUUUCAUACUAAACAGUGAGUGACUGAUAGCUAACACCACAGUGUUCUAGGCCUGUGCCAGGCCUUGUGCUUGAUGGUUUUACUUCUGUGAUUUUGUUUAUACUUCCAACAGCAGCUGUGUUUUACAGUGUUUACAGCAGUGUAGGCACUGGGAACUAAGUAGGAGGAACCAAGAGCUAAGUCCUUACCCUAGGAGGGUUGUGGACUUAGCACACCUGGGAUGGUUUACCUUUAAUAGAGCAGAACAGCUACAGACGCUGAGUGGGCACUGGCUGAACACUGGGCUCACCUGACGGGCUUUCCAGUCAUGAGAAGCUGGAGGUCUCGGGACAUUUGGGCCUAACUGGUCUCACCGGUGGGAGAGCAGCCCAGCACUUGGCCAGCUAGAACCUGCUACAAGCCUCGGGGUCCCCGGGGCGGAGAACCCUGCUUUUCAGGAAGGCGAGGGACACGUUGCACUCCGGAGAUGGAGGUGAAUGGAAGAUUCAUCUCCCUCCUCCAACCACUGAAGAGCAGCACGUGGCGAACAGCAGCUGAUGGUGGCCAGGCCGAGGCCCAGCCUUGUGACCAACGCACAGCAAUGCUCUCUCAAGCACUCAUUUCUGGCCAGGUACUGAGAAAUCGUGCUGCACUUUGAAACGUUCAUUUGAAAAUACAGAAAAACACCAAAAAAGUAAAAAUGUCCCGUAACCGUGCCACCACUGUGGGGUGGUGGC